GGAACGACUGUCUAUGAAUAUUAAGACAGCUCCACAACGGACAAGCAUCGGCCACAAAGGAAAUUUCCUUGCAAUUGCUGCUACGGAAGCCAUAACGAUUGUUUGUUGUAACGAAAAUCGACAGUUAAAGCAGAUGCUGCAUAUAGGUUACUGGAGAAGCUGCUCUUUCAAACCUCCAUACACAGUUGUACCCAAGAAUCAGAAUCACAGUUUGAUUACACUGAACAGGAGAAAGAAUAUGAAGAAACUGUAGUAACUGAAAAAAUAUUGCAGAAUCAGAUAGCAGAAAGCUACUGUUGAGCAGAAUUUGAUAACAGAAGUCUAUGUAUUAUUAACUGGAGCCCAAAGUAACAACAACUAGAGACCAAAACUAAGAUCAUCAUGAGGUCAAAACAACUGAGGUACUCUACUAUAUAACAUGUAACUGAUUGUGUACCUAAGUUUACGGCAUGGACUACUACCAAAACACUGAAAGCAAGGAGUAAAUAAAAAGGCAAUAAAGUAAAAUAAUUCAAGUUCUUUCAGCAGGUGUAAGAGGUCCAAUAUAUCCUCCAAGACAAUUUACAUUCCUUAUAUUCCACCAGUUCCUUCCAUGAUCAAUAGGUUUGAUGAUGUCGUUUCUCCGACUACCAUCCGAAUCACAGUUUUCCGACUCAGCUUCUUCCGCAACACCUGAUCC
rnacentral:lncRNA from 1 species